CACGGGGGGAGCAAGCGUUGUUCGGAAUCACUGGGCGUAAAGGGCGUGUAGGCGGUCAGGUUAGUGAGAUGUGAAAUGCCCCGGCUCACCCGGGGACCUGCAUCUCAAACUGCCUGGCUUGAGUAUGGGAGAGGAUGAGGGAAUUCCUGGUGUAGCGGUGAAAUGCGUAGAUAUCAGGAGGAACACCGGUGGCGAAAGCGCUCAUCUGGCCCAAUACUGACGCUGAGGCGCGAAAGCUAGGGGAGCAAACAGG
rnacentral:rRNA from 1 species